rnacentral:rRNA from 1 species
GACGAACGCUGGCGGCGUGCUUAACACAUGCAAGUCGAACGGAAAGGCCCUGCUUUUGUGGGGUGCUCGAGUGGCGAACGGGUGAGUAACACGUGAGUAACCUGCCCUUGACUUUGGGAUAACUUCAGGAAACUGGGGCUAAUACCGGAUAGGAGCUCCUGCUGCAUGGUGGGGGUUGGAAAGUUUCGGCGGUUGGGGAUGGACUCGCGGCUUAUCAGCUUGUUGGUGGGGUAGUGGCUUACCAAGGCUUUGACGGGUAGCCGGCCUGAGAGGGUGACCGGCCACAUUGGGACUGCGGUACGGCCCAGACUCCUACGGGAGGCAGCAGUGGGGAAUAUUGCACAAUGGGCGGACGCCUGAUGCAGCAACCCCGCGUGCGGGAUGCCGGCCUUCGGGUUGUAAACCGCUUUCGCCUGUGACGAAGCGUGAGUGACGGUAAUGGGUAAAGAAGCACCGGCUAACUACGUG